UACGUAGGGACCAAGCGUUGUUCGGAUUUACUGGGCGUAAAGGGCGCGUAGGCGGUUGUCCGCGUCGCACGUGAAAGCCCCCGGCUCAACCGGGGAGGGUCGUGCGAAACGGGGCGACUGGAGGCAGGGAGAGGCUGGUGGAAUUCCCGGAGUAGUGGUGAAAUGCGUAGAGAUCGGGAGGAACACCGGUGGCGAAGGCGGCCAGCUGGCCCUGACCCUGGACCGCUGAGGCGCGAAGGCGUGGGGAGCGAACGGGAUUGAGAACCC
rnacentral:rRNA from 1 species